rnacentral:rRNA from 1 species
UACGGAGGGUGCGAGCGUUAUCCGGAAUUACUGGGUUUAAAGGGUGCGUAGGCGGCCAUGUAAGUCAGGAGCGAAAGUUUGCGGCUCAACCGUAAAAUUGCUUUUGAUACUGCAUGGCUGGAAUCAGGAUGAGGUCAGCGGAAUGUGGCAUGUAGCGGUGAAAUGCAUAGAUAUGCCAUAGAACACCAAUUGCGAAGGCAGCUGGCUAGACCUGUAUUGACGCUGAGGCACGAAAGCGUGGGGAGCGAACAGG